GCUUCUGUGGCCUAGUGGUUAGAGAUUCCGCCUCGGAUGCGGGAGGUCGCUGGUUCGAUACCCGGCUGAGUCA